GUCCGUGCCCAGGAUCUGAACUGGUGAAACCUGGGCCCCCAAAGCGGACCACAGGACCUUAACCACUACACCAUCAGGCCAGCCUCUAUAUGCUUUUUUUUAACAAAGCAGUGUAUGUAUGGGAAAGGGUUUACACAUCUAAUAGAUACUUCAAAGGUAACAUAAACAAGAACUUUUUGGUUAUACAUCAAACAAGGCUUGUAGUGUUGGUGUUAUCUGUGUGUGGAGGGAGGCAAGGACCAGGCUUGUUAAUUAUUCCCUCAGUCUCUAAGAAAUGCGGCUGGGGUGUGAGAGAGUGAGAUGCCCUUAUCUCUUCCUGCUGUGGAUCUGUCCAGCAGCGUCUUCAGUCAUGAGGUGUGGGGCUGCAGCUCUUUCUAACGCAGCCGUGGGAUGGCUGCUUCACAGCACAGCACGGAUUUUUGUACUCACUUCAAGUCUACGCAGCUCACUUGCUAGAUUCGCCUGUUAGACUGGGGAGAGGGGUCCCAACAGUUUGCUCACACCCCUCGCACGAGGCAGGCACUACUGUUGCCUCCAUCUUACAGAUGGGGAAGGCAGGGCUUGUGGGGAACAGGCAGCCUACCUAGACACACAGCUCCUAAGUGGUGGAGGGGGAUUUGGCCCCGGGAUCAUGGCCCCAGAGCCACACUUUCAGCCCUGGGCUCUCCGCAGGGCAGACGUGACAGGAAAGAGAAGCCCAGGCAGGUGCAUCUCGACCACCAGCUCCCCAGUCAUCCAGCUAAGCUCACUCUCCUUUACGAAACCGACCACGAUUCCUCGUCAACCAAAUGAAGGCAUCAGCCACUUUAAAGAGUCAACAAAUGAAUAAGUGAAUGAGCCUUCGCUCUGUCUCAAACUGUCCCAUAAGUAGCUGCCCCUUAAGUCUGACCCCCUGAGUACCCGCCUGCCACACGCUGCCUGUUGCUGUCUUGCUCUCCGUGAGGCUGUGCCCACUGCCCUGUUCCCAGAGUCCAGACUGUAUGGCAGAUGGGUGCCCUUAGAACUGACGAGGUCGGAACCCCACGCUUUGACCAUCCCUGGCCCCUACUGUGUGCCAGCCCCGGGGACACUUUGCAUCUGUGAUCUCGUUAGUUGCUCAACAACCCUGCACAGUAUGUCACUGUCCCUACUUUAGUUUAUCUUUUUCACUGUCCCCAUUUUACAGAGGAGGACAUAAGUGCUUGCCCAGAGCCUGUCAGCUGGUGACAGAGAGAGGCCCAGGCUCCAGGACCCAGAUGGCACGUGUGGUGGCUGGUGGCAGGGCAGAUGGCAGCAACCGGGGCCAGACAGCUCGUCUCCCUUUGUGCUUCGAGCUCAGGACAGCUCUCCGGGCUCGGGCCUCCCCGUGGGGUGGGACCUGCUUCUUUGCACCUUUCUCUUGCGAAACACCUUGUCUUUUGGGGCAAAUAUUUUUGUCACUGUUGACGAAGCUAGUCCAAGGUCAGGGGGAGGCCCUGCCUGGGUGAUGUGUGCAGGAUCAAGGUCCAAGGCUGUCUAAAGUUCGCUUGGCAAAUGGUCAUGAAACACCCACUCUGUGCAACAUGGGGACGGGCGCCGGGCGGCUGACGGUGGGAGCCUCGGCUGUAUGUCACGCACCGAAGCGCCAUGCUGGGUGUCAUCGCAGGCCAUGGAACUCAAUUGUCGCCCAAUCCUAGGGUGAACAAAGGGUAUUGCAGCUCAGAGCAGGUGGGGCAGAAUUAACUUCUGCGGGGUCAGGAAAGCUUUCACGGAAGAAGUGACACAGGGCUGGUCUUGAAGAAUAGUAGGACGCAACAGACAGCUGAUUUGGGAACAGGUAUGAGACUUUCAGGCAGAGGGGACAGCCUGAGAAGAGCGUGGUGUUGAGUGAGCUGCGGUGUGUACGGGAGAUGACGGAGCCCUCUGUGUGGACCAGUGCAGGGCGCGUGAUGGAGAGCUGGGAGGAGUAGGUGACCCUGCUCGUGGUCCAGCGACAGGGACCCUGAACACGAGGCCAGUGUUUUGUCUGUUCUUGCUCAUCCCAAUGUCAGGUAGUUAUGCCAUCCACGCCACACCCUGAGUGUCCCCUGGGCCCCUUCCUGUCCCUCACUCUCCCAUCAGCAGAGCAGUGGCACCUCCGCUCAGCCCUCCAGGGGGCGCUCGCACCCACCCACACCUGCUGCUCCCACGCCCCGCCCUCCCCUUCCUCAGAUGGGCCUCAGGCACCCCAUGUGGUGAAAUGAGGUAACCGGUCUAUAGAGCCCACACGUGGAGGCGCGACUGUCCCCCUCAGGACCCUCUUAGCCGCCGUGUUAGUUUCCUAGGCCUGCCGUAACAAAGCGCCACAGGGCUGGGUAGCCUAAAAGCAGAAAGGUAUCAUCUCAGGAUCGGGGAGGCUGCGAGUCCGAGAUCGAGAGACGCGGACCAGAAGGCACGGCCUUGGUCUCCAGGGAAACAGCCCCCAGGAACCGCCACGCCCAGCUACACUUGCGUAUUUGGCUGUCACCCGUGGGUUGCCAGCAGGGCGCCAGGCACGGAGCUGGUACAAGGGUGUAAAGUUCUUUUACAGAGAAAAUAACGUCCAGAGAAUAUCAAGAAACCAAAGCUUCCCAGGCCCAACUCCUCGGCUCCCUGACGUCUGUCUACCUUCCACCAUAGAGAUAAACAGCCAAGCACGCUCGUCUGAGAAAUCCUUAGUCUCCUCUGCUGGAAGCAGCCCCAGACACAGGCCGAUGGGAAAAUGCAGACCAAGAAGGCCACGGCCCCCCACCUCUACCUAAAACCCCAAAUAAAAACCCCCACCCGUUUCUUAACGGGGAGCAAGCAACUUUGGGGGCACUGGCCCUUGCUUUGCUCCCCUUGCCUGGCCAA